GACGAACCGUGCGAACGUUAUUCGGAAUCACUGGGCUUAAAGCGCGCGUAGGCGGCGUCGUAAGUCAGGGGUGAAAUCCCAACGGCUCAACCGUGGAAUUGCCUUUGAUACUGCGAUGCUCGAGGGAGGUAGGGGCAAGUGGAACUUCCAGUGGAGCGGUGAAAUGUGUUGAGAUUGGAAGGAACGCCGGUGGCGAAAGCGACUUGCUGGAUCUCUUCUGACGCUGAGGCGCGAAAGCUAGGGUAGCGAACGGGAUUAGAAACCCUAGUAGU
rnacentral:rRNA from 1 species